rnacentral:rRNA from 1 species
GACGAACGCUGGCGGCGUGCCUAAUACAUGCAAGUAGGACGCACAGUUUAUACCGUAGCUUGCUACACCAUAGACUGUGAGUUGCGAACGGGUGAGUAACGCGUAGGUAACCUACCUAUUAGAGGGGGAUAACUAUUGGAAACGAUAGCUAAUACCGCAUAACAGUAUGUAACACAUGUUAGAUGCUUGAAAGAUGCAAUUGCAUCGCUAGUAGAUGGACCUGCGUUGUAUUAGCUAGUAGGUAGGGUAAAGGCCUACCUAGGCAACGAUACAUAGCCGACCUGAGAGGGUGAUCGGCCACACUGGGACUGAGACACGGCCCAGACUCCUACGGGAGGCAGCAGUAGGGAAUCUUCGGCAAUGGGGGGAACCCUGACCGAGCAACGCCGCGUGAGUGAAGAAGGUUUUCGGAUCGUAAAGCUCUGUUGUUAAGGAAGAACGAGUGUGAGAAUGGAAAGUUCACGCUGGACG